GUGCUUGCUUUGGUAGUAUAUACACUAAAAUUAGAACGAUACAGAGGAGGUUAGCAUGGCCUGCCCAAGGAAGACAUGCAGAUUCAUAAAGUGUUCCAUAUUUUU
ensembl:snRNA U6 U6 spliceosomal RNA